rnacentral:ncRNA from 2 species
AUAUUUUAAUAAGCGCCUGAACUAAUCCAGGAGACGCUAGGAUUAGUUGACGAGGAGGAGGUUUAUCGAACAUUCGGCGGAUGCCUCCCGGUUGAAAGCACAACCGUAAAUCCCUUCUUUAAAACAUUGAGGCAACUUAAUGUACAAAGAGAAGGGAAUGUUAUUAU